rnacentral:rRNA from 1 species
GAUGAACGCUAGCGGCAGGCUUAACACAUGCAAGUCGAGGGGUAGGAGAAGCUUGCUUUUCUGAGACCGGCGCACGGGUGCGUAACGCGUAUGCAAUCUACCUUUCACAGAGGGAUAGCCCAGAGAAAUUUGGAUUAAUACCUCAUAGUAUAAUUGAAUGGCAUCAUUUAAUUAUUAAAGAUUUAUCGGUGAAAGAUGAGCAUGCGUCCCAUUAGCUAGUUGGUAUGGUAACGGCAUACCAAGGCAACGAUGGGUAGGGGUCCUGAGAGGGAGAUCCCCCACACUGGUACUGAGACACGGACCAGACUCCUACGGGAGGCAGCAGUGAGGAAUAUUGGACAAUGGGCGCAAGCCUGAUCCAGCCAUGCCGCGUGCAGGAUGACGGUCCUAUGGAUUGUAAACUGCUUUUAUACAGGAAGAAACACCUCUACGUGUAGAGACUUGACGGUACUGUAAGAAUAAGGAUCGGCUAACUCCGUGCCAGCAGCCGCGGUAAUACGGAGGAUCCAAGCGUUAUCCGGAAUCAUUGGGUUUAAAGGGUCCGUAGGCGGUCAGGUAAGUCAGUGGUGAAAGCCCAUCGCUCAACGGUGGAACGGCCAUUGAUACUGUCUGACUUGAAUUAUUAGGAAGUAACUAGAAUAUGUAGUGUAGCGGUGAAAUGCUUAGAGAUUACAUGGAAUACCAAUUGCGAAGGCAGGUUACUACUAAUAUAUUGACGCUGAUGGACGAAAGCGUGGGCAGCGAACAGGAUUAGAUACCCUGGUAGUCCACGCCGUAAACGAUGGAUACUAGCUGUUGGGCGCAAGUUCAGUGGCUAAGCGAAAGUGAUAAGUAUCCCACCUGGGGAGUACGAACGCAAGUUUGAAACUCAAAGGAAUUGACGGGGGCCCGCACAAGCGGUGGAGCAUGUGGUUUAAUUCGAUGAUACGCGAGGAACCUUACCAAGGCUUAAAUGUAGAUUGACCGUUUGGAAACAGAAC